rnacentral:rRNA from 1 species
UACGUAGGGCGCAAGCGUUAAUCGGAAUUACUGGGCGUAAAGCGUGCGCAGGCGGUUUUGUAAGCCAGAUGUGAAAUCCCCGGGCUUAACCUGGGAAUGGCAUUUGGGACUGCAAGGCUGGAGUACGGCAGAGGAGACUGGAAUUCCUGGUGUAGCAGUGGAAAUGCGUAGAGAUCAGGAGGAAUACCGAUGGCGAAGGCAGGUCUCUGGGCUGGAUACUGACGCUCAUGCACGAAAGCGUGGGGAGCAAACGAGGAUACGAA